GACAGAGGUGCCGAGCGUUAGGCGGAAUCACUGGGCUUAAAGCGUGUGUAGGCGGGCGGGCAAGUACCUUGUGAAAUCCCACGGCUCAACCGUGGAACGGCUGGGUAUACUGCCUGUCUUGAGCCAACUAGGGGCGAGCGGAACAGACGGUGGAGCGGUGAAAUGCGUAGAUAUCGUCUGGAACGCCGAAGGUGAAAACAGCUCGCUGGGGUUGUGCUGACGCUGAGACACGAAAGCCAGGGGGAGCGAACGGG
rnacentral:rRNA from 1 species